GCCCAGAUGGCGGAAUUGGUAGACGCGCCAGCUUCAGGUGCUGGCGCUCGCAAGGGCGUGGAGGUUCGAGUCCUCUUCUGGGCACCA
rnacentral:tRNA from 1 species